rnacentral:rRNA from 1 species
CACGGGGGGAGCAAGCGUUGUUCGGAAUCACUGGGCGUAAAGGGCGUGUAGGCGGUCAAGUAAGUGGGAUGUGAAAUCCCUCGGCUCACCCGAGGACCUGCAUCCCAAACUGCUUGGCUUGAGUUAUGGGAGAGGAUGAGGGAAUUCCUGGUGUAGCGGUGAAAUGCGUAGAUAUCAGGAGGAACACCGGUGGCGAAGGCGCUCAUCUGGCCCAAUACUGACGCUGAGGCGCGAAAGCUAGGGGAGCAAACGGG